rnacentral:rRNA from 1 species
UACGUAGGGUGCAAGCGUUAAUCGGAAUACUGGGCGUAAAGCGUGCGCAGGCGGUUAUGUAAGACAGGUGUGAAAUCCCCGGGCUUAACCUGGGAACUGCAUUUGUGACUGCAUAGCUAGAGUACGGCAGAGGGGAUGGAAUUCCGCGUGUAGCAGUGAAAUGCGUAGAUAUGCGGAGGAACACCGAUGGCGAAGGCAAUCCCCUCGG